AAGCUUGAGCCUCUUUUUACUUAUACACGAGAAAUAAGCCAGUGUGGUUCCUUCUAGUUGUUUCAUGACUCCAAGAGAGCAGACUAAGAGGUGCUGCUACUACUACCUGUUGUACUAUUAUAUAGGUUGUUGUGCUAUUCUACUACUAAUAUGCAUACGAAACAAAGAAAGCAUAUCCUUUUCUCUUUGACUCUAUGAAACUUCCCGCCUUUAAUACUACUAUUAUUAUAGGAGGUUUAGUAUACUCUUAAGCUAAUAGCUUGAACUGGCGGCUUCUUCAGACUCGAAUGCUACACCAACACUAGUCUAUAUCCUCUAGGUCCAGUACUACUAUUUAUAAAGGUGGUUGCUCCAGUCGUUCCACCCAUCUCUCAUACAUAAUAAUAGUAGUGUAUCGAACUAACUUCCUGUUGUUCCUUGUUGUGGUGACCUCCACCGAGUCACGGAUGAGACAACAACCUAGAUAAGUACUGAGUUCAUAGAACUCACUCUCAAACGAAGCAUGAGAUAUAUACAAAAACUAACUACUCAACCUCUGAAACUACUAGCAUCGUCAAGGGGAGUGAAGCAAGAAGUAAGAAGAGAGAGGGUUGUUGUUGUGGUUGUUCAAUGAGGCAUACAGUUUAAUAAUUAGGUAGUGUAAGAAAGAAGAUCAGUUGCUAACUAAACAAUAUCCAUCUUUUCUCUUCUAAUCGAUAUCUUGAAGUUGUGGAAAAGAGAGUUCUAGACUAACCAACAACCCCAUCAUCAAUAACAACGACUACUACAUUGUGGAUCCUUUCUCUAGGUUGUUGGAGGAUCUGUGCCAAGGUAAAAGAGUACACGGUAACAAGAUGAAGAAGCAUACAACGAGUCAUACUUGAAACCAACUACUACUACGAUGGGGCUAGCUACAUGUGGGGAUCACCAUCCUUAUUAGUAGGACUCUUGCUUGUGGUACCAUCUAUCUAUUAUUGGUAGUGCCCUUGUGCUACUAGAGACAACUUGACUGCAUGGUUGCAUCAGACCGGGGGGGAGCAGCUAUAUGACUAGUAGAUCGAAGGCUGUUCCUCAUGAGCUACUCUGCGCUGGUAGAGCAUCCCUAUAGCCAACUCCGUAAAAGAUACUCACAUCUCGGAGAGAGCAAACAAGAGAAACAAGCUAGUCGUUCAGUGAGUGUAGUAUUAGUAUUAGUAGUUCGUAGUAGUAGUAGUCGUAAC
rnacentral:lncRNA from 1 species